UGAAUUUCAUACUUUACUUUCUUACUUCUCUGUGACUUGACAAUAUCCAGAAAAAUCCCGGGGAGACGAGUUCAGAGUUGUCGCGAUGCAACGAUGCCACCCUUACAGACUGGGAAGGAAAAAUGGGAUAUCCUGGUGAUGGGAUGAGAUGCAGAAACACCACCAGCAGCUGCCACUGGAGAGUUAUAACCCCAUUAAAAUCCAUUAUUUGGGUUGAAGUCCUGGACUUAUGAACUGAAAGAAAUCUGUCUAAUUGUCAUGGCCAGCUGACGGUGUAUGAAGGAUUUGGACUAACCAAAGAGUUAAUACUGCCUAGGACAUAAAGUGAAGGCUGUUAAAGACUGUAACUAAGGAUGCCAGGAUCUGCAUUUGGGAUUGAGUGUUUAUGAUGGGCCACAUCUCUCUUUGAGGCAAGAGUCAAGCGGCAGCAGACUUCUCAAGAGACACGGAGAGAAGGCUUGUCAUCAAGGGCCUCUUAGGUCAAGCUUAUGUGGCCAGAAAAAAAUCUUUUAGCAUGUUCUCUAGUAGCAGCUUCCUCACCCUUCAUUUCAAAACUGAUAAAUCUGUGGGAUAACGAGGCUUCAAAAUCCUUCUUGAGGAGCUGUAUCAGCAGCCAACACAAAGUGAGAUGGAAGGCAGCAGCCAAUUACAGAAUAUAUGGAUAUCUUCUGUUCUUCUGAAGAGAAAAAUGCUUCCAACUCUCCAACACAGACAUGUCAAUCCCACCAGAGGGCUGUUUUGGAACCUUUGGAUGUAUCUAUUGAGAACAAGUCUGUUAUUAGUUUGGUGUUGAAGCACACCAGCUCAGUCCGUUUCCUUUAUUUUUGAAAAAAUAG
ensembl:lncRNA